CAUGCAGACAGAUGUAACUUUUUAACCACUUUAACAUGUGAGAAGAAGGUUACGUUUAAUGUUAUGAUUCUUGUGCGUUUAAUAUGGAUAUCAAAUCUACAUAAUUACAUGAACAUAAGUAUAUAAGUAUAAAUCAAGGAGUAUAUAUUUCUCAGUGAGAGUCGGUAUACUUGUUUUGCCAUCAGCAGUAAUUAAGAAAUGAAUGCAGUCUAUCUGGAUGAACAGUAGAAGCAGAAGUGGAUAGUGGAGUUUUGGAGACGAGACUUGUGCGGUGCGCUGGUCCAAAGUCGAUCAAGUCCCUGAGACAAAUGAUAACUAUGACUCUCGGAUUUGUGCAAACUGCACUGAUCGAGUCUUGUAGUCGAGAGGGUUAAAUUCUAAUGGAGGGGGAUGAUGUUUUGGUUUCUGCGCAUGAGUCGCACAGAGCACCAAAUAUCAAGGCUUUAUAUAAAUUUAAAUGCCAGGGCAGGACAGAGAAAUGUGCGAAUCUUCUGUUUUCCAGAAGGCAGUCGGCACCACAGUAAAAAUUCAAUGUUGAAACCUCCAAAAUCCAAUGCGUAAAUUUAGCAUUGGCAUGUAUAGGUAUUUAUU